AUGGAGAUGUUGGUGAAGAUGGUGGAGGUGUUGGUGAAGAUCAUGGUGAUGAUGAUGGCCCCCGGCGGUGUUCAGGCGCCACCGGAAGCAAGGGGGAGAGAGCCCUCCUUCUUCUUAUUCUUCUUCCUUGACCUUCUCCCUAGAUGGGAGAAGGGUUUCCCCUAUGGUCCUUGGCUCCCAUGGCGUGGGAGGGGCGAGAGCCCCUCCGAGAUUGGAUCUGUCUCUCUGUCUCUCUCUGUUUCUGCGCUUUUUGAUUCUGCCCUUUCACCAUUUCUUAUAUAUCCGGAGAUCCUAACUCCGAUUGGGUUGAAACCUUCGCCCAGAUUUUUCUCCGAAAAUUAG
rnacentral:rRNA from 1 species